AUACCUUUCUCGGCCUUUUGGCUAAGAUCAAGUGUAGUAUCUGUUCUUAUCAGUUUAAUAUCUGAUACGUGGGCCAAUGGCCCACAUGAUAUUAAAUUAAUUUUUUUCGGGGGUGGGCCUACCAAGGUAGCUUGCUGCCUGGGCCCUCAUGCGUCGUCUGUGUGUUGCACUAUUGCACGGGCCUGGCGCACCCCAC